UCGUUAUAAAUCAAUAGAGGCUAAGACGGUUUGCUCGACUCUGGAGACCGCGUAUAAUAUCUAUAGGGUGUCCACGAAAGAACAUUUUUUUUUUUAAAAAUGUGUCAUUUCUUUGUUUUUGGGCCGGUACCACUGUGCUCAAAAUUCUUCCUAUCUCAAAAAUCUGAAGUUUUGUGUGGUAUUGUUCGUUUUUGUUUUCGAUUGUCUAUGGAAACCCACGUUUUGGUUUCCGGACAGACUCGUCUUAUUGCGUGGGUACCAAAAAGCUGACCACCAUCCCGUCCACUAAACGAACGUUCGCUUUUGAAAAUUUGAAACUAUGCGUACAGUGCCAGCGGAAUAUAAACGUUUUCAAAAUCGUCCGUUGGCGGUGCGAGGAAUACGAGUUCCUCCUACCGCUGUACACAUUUCAAACGUGGCGGCGCGAGUGUUACAUCGGCCCGGGCGAAUUUACGCCGCGGCACCCGUAGAUGCGGAAAAUCGUAAAGACCCCCUGUAACGGUUUCGCCCGUGACGACGAAAACUUUCGGAUCGGCCCGUCUUAAAAAAAAAAAAAAAAAAUCCUUAUAAAGGACGUACGCGUUGCGGCGUUGUCGGACAUCCGAAC